CAUUAGAUAGCUGAAAGCCAGCAAUGGUCUCUUAAACCAUCAUAUAGUAAAUUAGCAACUACUUCUAAUGA
rnacentral:tRNA from 1 species